CCUUGGGCUCCUCAGAAAAUUUUCCUUAACUAAAAGGAACACACGCCCGUGUAGGUGGAUCGUGUGGACUCACACGCCCGUGUAUCCGGGGGCACGCCCAUGCCCUUCAAUCGUGGGCAACACUAACUUAUCAACACGACCAUGGAACACGCCCGUGCUACCUGCCCGUGGACGAAACUGUCAUUUUAACACGGCCAUGGUGCACGCCCGUGUGGCCUACCCGU
rnacentral:lncRNA from 1 species